AUACGUAGGGGGCGAGCGUUGUCCGGAAUGACUGGGCGUAAAGGGCGCGUAGGCGGCUGAAUAAGUUAGGAGUGAAAUUCCAGUUUUCAAGGCUGGAACUGCUUUUAAUACUGUUGAGCUUGAGUGCAGAAGAGGUAAGCGGAAUUCCCAGUGUAGCGGUGAAAUGCGUAGAGAUUGGGAAGAACACCAGUGGCGAAGGCGGCUUACUGGGCUGUAACUGACGCUGAGGCGCGAAAGCGUGGGGAGCGAACAGGAUUAGAUACCCUGGUAGUCCACGCUGUAAACGAUGAAUGCUAGGUGUAGGGGGUAUCGACCCCUCCUGUGCCGGAGUGAACGCAAUAAGCAUUCCGCCUGGGGAGUACGGCCGCAAGGUUGAAACUCAAAUGAAUUGACGGGG
rnacentral:rRNA from 1 species